rnacentral:rRNA from 1 species
UACGGGGGGGGCAAGCGUUUGUUCGGAAUUACUGGGCGUAAAGGGCUCGUAGGCGGCCAACUAAGUCAGACGUGAAAUCCCUAGGCUCAACCUAGGAACUGCGUCUGAUACUGGAUGGCUUGAAUCCGGGAGAGGGAUGCAGAAUUCCAGGUGUAGCGGUGAAAUGCGUAGAUAUCUGGAGGAAUACCGGUGGCGAAGGCGGCAUCCUGGACCGGCAUUGACGCUGAGGAGCGAAAGCCAGGGGAGCAAAGCGGG